AUCCUAUUUAGUUAUGUAGGAGCUAAUAUAACGUGUAUUGAUGAAUUAGUAAACUAGCAACCUCUUCGCAUGCAUCCUGUUUCUAUCCAAAUAACCAUAUGAUCAGAAUGCAAAAUGAAAGGUUUGUCACCAUCAGUUCCUGAUGUAGAACAAAUAGCAAAGAACAAAGAGGAACGAGGAACUAAUCCUUAAGGAAAAGAGAACUAA
rnacentral:misc_RNA from 1 species